rnacentral:rRNA from 1 species
UACGUAAGGUGCGAGCGUUGUCCGGAAUUAUUGGGCGUAAAGAGCUCGUAGGCGGCUUGUCGCGUCGGAUGUGAAAGCCCGGGGCUUAACUCCGGGUCUGCAUUCGAUACGGGCAGGCUAGAGUUCGGUAGGGGAGAUCGGAAUUCCCGGUGUAGCGGUGAAAUGCGCAGAUAUCAGGAGGAACACCGGUGGCGAAGGCGGAUCUCUGGGCCGAUACUGACGCUGAGGAGCGAAAGCGUGGGGAGCGAACAGG